rnacentral:lncRNA from 1 species
GAUUCGACUACACUAUGCCCCCGAUGAGCGAAGGUUUGUUUUAAAUGAAAAAGGUAAAAUCGACCCUUAUUCUUCUGCUUAUCGAGGUAAGAUGCUUGAAACCUUUGAAACACUUUUGUACUCCUCGGAUAGUGAUAAAGAUCGUAUUGAUGAACACUUAGAUCGAAACGUGCUUGACUGUCCUAUUUUAUUUAUUGAUGAUCUAUCUGUUUUGAUGGUUGAUAAAAAGAUUCUUGUUUUUGAUAAUGCAUGUGUGAGUGAAUCUAUAGACCGUCGAUUAAUGCAUGGUAUGAUUAUGCAACUCUGUGAACCAUGUGAAUCUUUUCAAAUACCUACUUGUGACGAUUAUGUUUACCAUUUGAUUUAUUACUCGCAAUUUAUUCAUGGUUUGUGGGAACAAUGUGAGACGACUGAAUGCCUUAAAACAUGUCCAUCUUUGUUUCAAAUAUUUGACGAGGCAGUGGUGAGUAAAUUAGAUUGUUUGCAUGGUAAUCUGAAUCUGUCCAUUCACAUGCGUUAUACCUGUUCUGUUAUGCUUAUGAUUGGACUACAAGCUUGUUUCCGUUUCUAUUUACUAUCUCAUGGCUAUUCUUUUCAGUGGACUCAAUUGCCAUUAGUCCCGUUCGAUAGAGGAAAGUCGAGUUCAUUUGAUUUUUCAGAUUCGAGGACGAAUCUUUUUGAGGAAGGGGGAAUGAUACGAGUCACAAAAGCCCAAAUUCUUGAAGGCGAGGCCCAAUAAGCAAAUUCCCAGCCCAAUCAAGAAAUCCAUCCAUACUUAGUUGAAAAUCAGGCCAAAUUGUCAAAGUGGCCCAAGUUGUAAAGUUUUAUUUUUAUUUAUUUAUUUAUUUAUUUAUUUACUUAGUUUAAAUUUUUAUGUCAAUAUUCAGUCCAAGAGUCCCAGAUAAAAUGACCUUUGACCGAAUUUCCAUAUUAAAAUAAUUAGGAGUUUUUUUUAUUUUAGUUUUCUAAUUAGAUUAGGACUAGUUAUAAGGCCUAUUUAAAGGCAUGACUGUCCACCUUGUUAAACACUUAUCAUUAUUAUUAAAAUUUCAGAUUUGUUGAGAGCAGAAUUUUCUUUGAGUUUUCUCCAAGAUUUCUCUCUUGAGUUUUCUUUAGAAGUUGUUUUAACAAUCUUGUGAUUGUGGAAGCCAUCUUCAACCUUCUUCUUGCCAUUGAUAUUCUUUGGAGGGGAGAUUAGAGCCGUUUGAAGGGAGUUGUGAGAUCUUUCGAGAUUUCAAGGCUUCUUAGGACUUAUCUUUUAAUUUCUUACUGUCAAUUCUUUCUUUAUUUCUGCUUGUGCCGAAUCUUUAUCUAAUUUAUUUUCUGUUCUUAUUGUGUUUUCAGCCUUUUUCUAUCUUAAGGAAUUAGCCCAAAAAUCCCCAAUUUCUAGGGUUCUUGCCGAUUCAUCCAUACUCUUUUUGGGAGAAAUUAGAUUGCCGAAAUUUGGGGAAAACUAUCUUGGUGUUCAAUUGGGCAGAAUCACAAUCUCCUUGAGGGUUUCAAGAACCCUAACACUUAUUUCUAUUCUCAAUUUGAUUCUUUCCUGAUUUGGGGAUUUUAUUUCAGAUCUGAAAAUUCAAAAAUCUAAUCUUUUAAUUUUCUGUUUCGUUUCAGAUCUAAUUGUUUAGGGUUUUCGUAGGAGUUUCUCGUGACUUGGCAACUCGAUCUUGGUCCGUGAGCAACCCUUUAUCAUUUGGUAUCAGAUUUUGGGCGUUUUGGGUGUUCUUGGUUGAUUUCUAAACUGAUCUCUAUUUUUUAAAUUACAAACAGCAGUUUUACCCAGAAAAAUUUUCGAAAAACAAUUCAUUUGAGUGGGUAAACGUUUUCUGAUUGAUCUGAAAUUUUACAUACAUAUUUUUGGCACUGUUAUUGAAUAUACAAAAAUAUUUCCUGCAAAAAAAUAAGUCGAAAAAGUCAAAAAAUUGAAAAAAUACGAAAUCCAAUAAAAAAAUUAAAAAAAUAUUCAGCGGGUUGAAUUUGGUGCCCAAAUUUUCCAGAUCAAAAAUUAAAUAUUUGAAGACAUUCCAGAUUUAAUUUUGUGAUUUUUUGAGAUCGGGAACACCUCGAACGAAGUUGUCAAGUUACUCCGUAGUUUUUCGGGUUUUCUGUUUUCAACAAUUUUUAUUGAUUCUUAGCUGUAGGUUUUCAUUUGUUUGCUUUUUAUUCUCCCUUUACAAUAUCUAACACCUUCUUGUUUUUUGUGUUAGUAGGAUUUAAACGUGUGCCCAAUUCUUCCUCGGUGCAACACGAAUCAAUUGGUGUCUCGUCAGUUUUUGGCAUCCUAGUGCAAAUUAGGAUUCUUUGGUAGUUUGGUUCACACUCUCUAAUUGGUUGAUAUAAACUCUGAUAAAGAACUCACAAGAUUGAAUUCGACCUCAUUGAGAAUUUGAUUUUUCUUUUUGAGUGAUUAAUGGUGAGGUUUGCUAACUUUUAUUUUUGAGUGUUGAGUGUUUAUUUUUUACAAGUUUUGAAGAUGUCUAAAGGUGAUAAUAAUGAUGCACUUAUGAAAGUCCAACAACAGUUAGACAGACAUACUGCUGCAAUCACACAAAUAAAUGCUACACUUCAAGCAUUGAAUACUACUUUGAAUGAGGUACGAGUGAAUCAAAAACAUCAAUAUCGAGAUCCAAUUAAGGAAGAUAGGGAUAACCAGCCCCAUAGGUGCAACCCUCAACGUGUCCCUAGAAUGGAUGAUGAUUGUCAUGAUCAUGGACAAUCAUCUUUGGCAAAACCAAAGAGCGAGCAGCAACGAGAACAUCUCUUUCAUACUCGCUGCCACGUACAAGGUAAGCUUUGUAGAGUUAUUAUUGAUGGUGAAAGUUGCUCGAACAUAGCCAGCACGACGAUGGUGGAAAAGCUUUGCUUAACCACUACCAAGCAUCCACAACCUUAUCAACUACAAGGGCUUAGCAACGAAGGCCAAUUUAGGGUCACUCAACAAGUGCGCAUCGCCUUUUCUAUCGGUAAGUAUCAAGACGAAGUUGUGUGCGACGUAAUGCCUAUUCAAGCCUGCCAUUUGUUGCUAGGAGAACCGUGGCAACUGGAUCGAAAAGUCACUCAUGAUGGUCAUACCAAUAGGUAUUCUUUCAAGCAUCAAGGAAAGAAACUCACCUUAGUGCCGCUCACUCUGGAACAAGUCCAUGAGGACCAAAUUAAACUGAAAAAUUCUGUUAAAAUAAGUGAGGAAAAAGAAAAAGAGAAUGAAAAAGAGCAAAAAGAGAUUGUGAGUGAAAAAGAAAUUGAAGAAAGAAGAGAAAAUGAAUUAGAAAAAGAAACAAAAGAAAAAGACGUGGAAAGGGUAGUGAGGAAUGUUUCCACUAACCAAGAUAUGAAUUUUUCUUGUGUUGCUACUUUUCAGGUUCCCGAAAGAUCGAAAGAUAACUUUCAACUUCAAUACCUCUCAAAUGAAAGACGCUUUCAAACGAUCAACUUAGGCAAAGAUGAAAUCACACUACAUGAUCCCGAAGGUAAGCGAGGUAAGGAAAUUUUAGAAACCGAGUCCAGUGCAGAUUUGAAAAUUAUUGAUAAAACUUUUGGUGACUUAGUUCUUAAAAGAUCCCCUCAUUUUGAUCCGAUUAAUUGUUACUCUUCGAUUGUGGUUGAUAAAGUCAUUACGAAAAGAAGCGUGAUUUGUUAUUCUCUUGAUUUACCUUGUGUAAAAUCCUUGAAUUUGUCCAAAUCUGUUUUGGAGAAUAAGGUAACAAAAUUUUCCAAAUUUGUUUUCAAUUUAUAUUCGUGCCUUAAACAGUUUAUGUGGUUGUACAUGAAGUUUGAGUUCCAUUUGACAAACGUUAACUCAACAACGAAGAUUCGACUACACUAUGCCCCCGAUGAGCGAAGGUUUGUUUUAAAUGAAAAAGGUAAAAUCGACCCUUAUUCUUCUGCUUAUCGAGGUAAGAUGCUUGAAACCUUUGAAACACUUUUGUACUCCUCGGAUAGUGAUAAAGAUCGUGUUGAUGAACACUUAGAUCGAAACGUGCUUGACUGUCCUAUUUUAGUUAUUGAUGAUCUAUCUGUUUUGAUGGUUGAUAAAAAGAUUCUUGUUUUUGAUAAUGCAUGUGUGAGUGAAUCUAUAGACCGUCGAUUAAUGCAUGGUAUGAUUAUGCAACUCUGUGAACCAUGUGAAUCUUUUCAAAUACCUACUUGUGACGAUUAUGUUUACCAUUUGAUUUAUUACUCGCAAUUUAUUCAUGGUUUGUGGGAACAAUGUGAGACGAC